rnacentral:rRNA from 1 species
UUCCGGUUGAUCCUGCCGGACCCCACUGCUAUCGGGAUGGGACUAAGACAUGCUAGUCGUGCGCCUCCAAGCCACGGUGGAGGCGCGGCGCACAGCUCAGUAACACGUGGCUAACCUGCCCUUGGGACGGGGACAACCCCGGGAAACUGGGGCUAAUCCCCGAUAGGUGAGGACUCCUGGAAUGGGUCCUCGCUGAAAGGGCGUCUAGACCAUGCUUCUAGACGUCGCCCAAGGAUGGGGCCGCGGCCGAUCAGGUAGUUGGUGAGGUAACGGCUCACCAAGCCUAUAACCGGUACGGGCCGUGAGAGCGGGAGCCCGGAGAUGGACACUGAGACAAGGGUCCAGGCCCUACGGGGCGCAGCAGUCGCGAAACCUCCGCAAUACGCGAAAGCGUGACGGGGCCAUCCCGAGUGCCGUCCGCUGAGGACGGCUUUUCCCCAGUGUAGACAGCUGGGGGAAUAAGGGGAGGGCAAGUCGGGUGUCAGCCGCCGCGGUAAUACCCGCUCCCCGAGUGGUGGGGACGCUUAUUGGGCCUAAAGCAUCCGUAGCCGGCUGGACAAGUCCCCUGUUAAAUCCAGCGAUUCAAUCGCUGGACUGCGGGGGAUACUGUCCAGCUAGGGGGCGGGAGAGGCCGGCGGUAUUCCCGGGGUAGGGGUGAAAUCUUAUAAUCCCGGGAGGACCACCAGUGGCGAAGGCUGCCGGCUGGAACGCGCCCGACGGUGAGGGGCGAAAGCCGGGGGAGCAAAGGGGAUUAGAUACCCCUGUAGUCCCGGCCGUAAACGAUGCGGGCUAGCUGUCGGCCGGGCUUAGGGCCCGGCCGGUGGCGAAGGGAAACCGUUAAGCCCGCCGCCUGGGGAGUACGGCCGCAAGGCUGAAACUUAAAGGAAUUGGCGGG